GACGAACGCUGGCGGCGUGCUUAACACAUGCCAGUCGAACGGUGAAGCGCCUUCCUUUUUGGUGGGUGUGGAUGAGUGGCGAACGGGUGAGUAACACGUGAGUAACCUGCCCCCUUCUUCUGGAUAACCGCAUGAAAGUGUGGCUAAUACGGGAUAUUCUGGGUCUGUCGCAUGAUGGGUCUGGGAAAGAUAUUGUUUCGGUGGGGGAUGGGCUCGCGGCCUAUCAGCUUGUUGGUGGGGUGAUGGCCUACCAAGGCGGUGACGGGUAGCCGGCCUGAGAGGGUGGACGGUCACACUGGGACUGAGACACGGCCCAGACUCCUACGGGAGGCAGCAGUGGGGAAUAUUGCACAAUGGGCGCAAGCCUGAUGCAGCGACGCCGCGUGAGGGAUGGAGGCCUGCGGGUUGUGAACCUCUUUCGCCAGUGAAGCAGGCCUGCCUCGUUUGUGGGUGGGUUGACGGUAGCUGGAUAAGAAGCGCCGGCUAACUACGUG
rnacentral:rRNA from 1 species